CUUUUCCUUUCCCACUUUAACCUUCAUCAAACACAAUUCCAUUAUAAAAACACACAAGAGGAAACUAGAGAGCAUUAAGAACUUGUGAAGAGAUCUACAUAGAAACUAGCAAUGACUACUUUGGUGGGGACUUGGUUGGGAGAGUUCAAUAAAUUGGGAAAUAAUCAGUGUCAGAAUUCGGAGCACCGCGGCAAAGCAGAAGCACCGAAAAAAGAAAAAGAUCUUAUGGGAGCAAAUGAGGCGUUUUUUGGAAAGGAGAAGAGAAAAAGAGGUGGGAACAUCUCAGAAGCCACUUUAUGUUUGCUUAUGGAUCGCUUUGCCCCUAGCUAGUUGAGUACCUUACGCGUGUAUAGUUUUGUAUAAGUAUUGUAUGCUUUCGUAUGUAUAUAUGUAUAUAUAUAUGUAUAUUUUCCUUAUGUAUUCGGUAUGUUCUUACUUUGAAGAAGUAACUGUUUCUUAUUUCGUGUAUUAUUUCACUUCCCCACAAAUUAUUUCUUUNGAGUUCAAUAAAUUGGGAAAUAAUCAGUGUCAGAAUUCGGAGCACCGCGGCAAAGCAGAAGCACCGAAAAAAGAAAAAGAUCUUAUGGGAGCAAAUGAAGCGUUUUUUGGAAAGGAGAAGAGAAAAAGAGGUGA
rnacentral:lncRNA from 1 species